rnacentral:rRNA from 1 species
CCUACAGGGGGCAGCAGUGAGGAAUAUUGGUCAAUGGACGAGAGUCUGAACCAGCCAAGUAGCGUGAAGGAUGACUGCCCUCUGGGUUGUAAACUUCUUUUAUAUGGGAAUAAAACGUUCCACGUGUGGGAUUUUGUAUGUACCAUAUGAAUAAGGAUCGGCUAACUCCGUGCCAGCAGCCGCGGUAAUACGGAGGAUCCGAGCGUUAUCCGGAUUUAUUGGGUUUAAGGGGAGCGUAGGUGGAUUGUUAAGUCAGUUGUGAAAGUUUGCGGCUCAACCGUAAAAUUGCAGUGGAAACUGGCAGUCUUGAGUACAGUAGAGGAGGGCGGAAUUCGUGGUGUAGCGGUGAAAUGCUUAGAUAUCACGAAGAACUCCGAUGGCGAAGGCAGUUCACUGGACUGCAACUGACACUGAGGCUCGAAAGUGUGGGUAUCAAACAGGAUUAGAUACCCCAGUAGUC